UACGAAGGGAGCUAGCGUUGUUCGGAAUCACUGGGCGUAAAGCGCACGUAGGCGGAUGUGUCAGUCAGGGGUGAAAUCCCCGGAGCUCAACUUCGGAACUGCCUUUGAUACAGCACGUCUUGAGUCCGAUAGAGGUGGGUGGAAUUCCUAGUGUAGAGGUGAAAUUCGUAGAUAUUUAGGGAAGAACACCGGUGGCGAAGGCGGCCCCACUGGAUCGGUACUGACGCUGAGGUGCGAAAGCGUGGGGAGCAAACAGG
rnacentral:rRNA from 1 species